AACCCAUGGUGAGGGCACCUUCUCAAUAGAUCCUUGUUUCUCUCUUAUGAUCAUAGAGUGUUUCUAGAUCGAUCUGCACAAAAGAAGAGAUAUCAUUCCUCAACUU
rnacentral:snoRNA from 1 species